rnacentral:rRNA from 1 species
AUUGAACGCUGGCGGGAUGCUUUACACAUGCAAGUCGAACGGCAGCACGAGGGCAACCUUGGUGGCGAGUGGCGAACGGGUGAGGUAAUACAUCGGAACGUGCCCAGUCGUGGGGGAUAACGGUAGCGAAAGGCUACGCUAAUACCGCAUACGAUCUAUGGGAUGAAAGCGGGGGACCGUAAGGCCUCGCGCGAUUGGAGCGGCCGAUGGCAGAUUAGGUAGUUGGUGGGGGUAAAGGCUCACCAAGCCUGCGAUCUGUAGCUGGUCUGAGAGGACGACCAGCCACACUGGAACUGAGACACGGUCCAGACUCCUACGGGAGGCAGCAGGUGGGGAAUUUUGGACAAUGGGGCGCAAGCCUGAUCCAGCCAUUCCGCGUGCAGGAUGAA